rnacentral:rRNA from 1 species
GACGAACGCUGGCGGCGUGCCUAAUACAUGCAAGUAGAACGCUGAAGGAGGAGCUUGCUUCUCUGGAUGAGUUGCGAACGGGUGAGUAACGCGUAGGUAACCUGCCUGGUAGCGGGGGGUAACUAUUGGAAACGAUAGCUAAUACCGCAUAAGAGUAGAUGUUGCAUGACAUUUGCUUAAAAGGUGCAAUUGCAUCACUACCAGAUGGACCUGCGUUGUAUUAGCUAGUUGGUGGGGUAACGGCUUACCAAGGCGACGAUACAUAGCCGACCUGAGAGGGUGAUCGGCCACACUGGGACUGAGACACGGCCCAGACUCCUACGGGAGGCAGCAGUAGGGAAUCUUCGGCAAUGGACGGAAGUCUGACCGAGCAACGCCGCGUGAGUGAAGAAGGUUUUCGGAUCGUAAAGCUCUGUUGUAAGAGAAGAACGAGUGUGAGAGUGGAAAGUUCACACUGUGACGGUAUCUUACCAGAAAGGGACGGCUAACUACGUG